UUCAUUUGUUCCACUGUGAUAGACGUGAACUGAGCUGCAGUGAUCUCUGCUCAUCCUGACUCUUCACUCCUCAUUAGCAGCUUCAGAGCAUUUCAUUCACUGCAGACAUCUUCACCACCUGCUGCUCCAGACGACCGACUGCCUGAACUGCUGCAGGUUAACAAACAAACCAACCAACCAACCACCAGUAAAGCAAAAAACAAGGAAAUAAUGAGGA